GAUCAUGGCUCAGGAUGAACGCUAGCUACAGGCUUAACACAUGCAAGUCGAGGGGCAGCAUCAUCAAAGCUUGCUUUGAUGGAUGGCGACCGGCGCACGGGUGAGUAACACGUAUCCAACCUGCCGACAACACUGGGAUAGCCUUUCGAAAGAAAGAUUAAUACCGGAUGGUAUAGUUUUCCCGCAUGGGAUGAUUAUUAAAGAAUUUCGGUUGUCGAUGGGGAUGCGUUCCAUUGGG
rnacentral:rRNA from 1 species